rnacentral:rRNA from 1 species
CGCUUUUUUCCCGGGAAAAAACUAGCAUAUCAAUAAGCGGAGGAAAAGAAACUAACAAGGAUUCCCCUAGUAACUGCGAGUGAAGCGGGAAAAGCUCAAAUUUAAAAUCUGGCGGUCUCUGGCCGUCCGAGUUGUAAUCUAGAGAAGUAAUGCCCGUGCUGGACCGUGUAUAAGUCUCCUGGGAUGGGGCGUCAUAGAGGGUGAGAAUCCCGUCUUUGACACGGACUACCAGUGCAUUGUGGUAUGCUCUCAAAGAGUCGAGUUGUUUGGGAAUGCAGCUCAAAAUGGGUGGUAAAUUCCAUCUAAAGCUAAAUAUUGGCGAGAGACCGAUAGCGAACAAGUACCGUGAGGGAAAGAUGAAAAGAACUUUGGAAAGAGAGUUAAACAGUACGUGAAAUUGCUGAAAGGGAAACGCUUGAAGUCAGUCGCGUUGGCCGGGGAUCAGCCUUGCUUUUGCAUGGUGUACUUUCUGGUUGACGGGUCAGCAUCAAUUUUGACCGCUGGAAAAAGACCUGGGGAAUGUGGCAGCUUCGGCUGUGUUAUAGCCCCUAGUCGCAUACAGUGGUUGGGAUUGAGGAACUCAGCACGCCGCAAGGCCGGGUUUCGACCACGUUCGUGCUUAGGAUGCUGGCAUAAUGGCUUUAAGCGACCCGUCUUGAAACACGGACCAAGGAGUCUAACAUGCCUGCGAGUAUUUGGGUGGAAAACCCAAGUGCGUAAUGAAAGUGAAAGUUGAGAUCCCUGUCGUGGGGAGCAUCGACGCCCGGACCAGAACUUUUGGGACGGAUCCGCGGUGGAGCAUGUAUGUUGGGACCCGAAAGAUGGUGAACUAUGCCUGAAUAGGGUGAAGCCAGAGGAAACUCUGGUGGAGGCUCGUAGCGAUUCUGACGUGCAAAUCGAUCGUCAAAAUUUGGGUAUAGGGGCGAAAGACUAAUCGAACCAUCUAGUAGCUGGUUCUGCCGAGUUU